UACGGAGGGUGCGAGCGUUGUCCGGAAUCAUUGGGCGUAAAGGGCGCGUAGGUGGCCCGGUCAGUUCGUGGUGAAAGCGCGGGGCUCAACCCUGCGUCGGCCAUGAAUACUGCCGCGGCUGGAGCACUGUAGAGGCAGGCGGAAUUCCGGGGUGUAGCGGUGGAAUGCGUAGAGAUCCGGAAGAACACCGGUGGCGAAGGCGGCCUGCUGGGCAGUUGCUGGACACUGAGGCGCGACAGCCGUGGGGAGCAACAGG
rnacentral:rRNA from 1 species